rnacentral:rRNA from 1 species
AUUGAACGCUGGCGGCAGGCCUAACACAUGCAAGUCGAGCGGAUGAAGGGAGCUUGCUCCUGGAUUCAGCGGCGGACGGGUGAGUAAUGCCUAGGAAUCUGCCUGGUAGUGGGGGAUAACGUCCGGAAACGGGCGCUAAUACCGCAUACGUCCUGAGGGAGAAAGUGGGGGAUCUUCGGACCUCACGCUAUCAGAUGAGCCUAGGUCGGAUUAGCUAGUUGGUGGGGUAAAGGCCUACCGAGGCGACGACCCGUAACUGGUCUGAGAGGAUGAUCAGUCACACUGGAACUGAGACACGGUCCAGACUCCUACGGGAGGCAGCAGUGGGGAAUAUUGGACAAUGGGCGAAAGCCUGAUCCAGCCAUGCCGCGUGUGUGAAGAAGGUCUUCGGAUUGUAAAGCACUUUAAGUUGGGAGGAAGGGCAGUAAGUUAAUACCUUGCUGUUUUGACGUUACCAACAGAAUAAGCACCGGCUAACUUCGUG